rnacentral:rRNA from 1 species
AGUGAACGCUGGCGGUAGGCCUAACACAUGCAAGUCGAACGGCAGCACAGUAAGAGCUUGCUCUUACGGGUGGCGAGUGGCGGACGGGUGAGGAAUAAAUCGGAAUCUACUUUUUCGUGGGGGAUAACGUAGGGAAACUUACGCUAAUACCGCAUACGACCUACGGGUGAAAGCAGGGGAACUUCGGACCUUGCGCGAUUGAAUGAGCCGAUGUCGGAUUAGCUAGUUGGCGGGGUAAAGGCCCACCAAGGCGACGAUCCGUAGCUGGUCUGAGAGGAUGAUCAGCCACACUGGAACUGAGACACGGUCCAGACUCCUACGGGAGGCAGCAGUGGGGAAUAUUGGACAAUGGGCGCAAGCCUGAUCCAGCCAUACCGCGUGGGUGAAGAAGGCCUUCGGGUGGUAAAGCCCUUUUGUUGGGAAAGAAAAGCAGCAGGUUAAUACCCCGCUGUUCUGACGGUACCCAAAGAGUAAGCACCGGCUAACUUCGUG